rnacentral:rRNA from 1 species
CUCCCAGACUCCUACGGGAGGCAGCAGUGGGGAAUAUUGCACAAUGGGGGAAACCCUGAACCAGCAACGCCGCGUGAGGGAAGACGGUUUUCGGAUUGUAAACCUCUGUCCUCUGUGAAGAUAAUGACGGUAGCAGAGGAGGAAGCUCCGGCUAACUACGUGCCAGCAGCCGCGGUAAUACGUAGGGAGCAAGCGUUGUCCGGAUUUACUGGGUGUAAAGGGAGCGUAGGCGGCAGGGCAAGCCUGAUGUGAAAGCCCGGGGCUCAACCCCGGGACUGCAUUGGGAACUGCCCCGCUCGAGUGCCGGAGGGGCAGGCGGAAUUCCUAGUGUAGCGGUGAAAUGCGUAGAUAUUAGGAGGAACACCAGUGGCGAGGGCGGCCUACUGGACGGUGACUGACGCUGAGGCUCGAAAGCGUGGGGAGCAAACAGGAUUAGAUACCCCCGUAA